rnacentral:rRNA from 1 species
AUUGAACGCUGGCGGCAGGCCUAACACAUGCAAGUCGAGCGAGCGGCGGACGGGUGAGUAAUGUAUGGGGACUGCCCGAUAGAGGGGGAUAACUACUGGAAACGGUGGCUAAUACCGCAUACUAUCGGAUAACCCAUAUGGGAUUAGCUAGUAGGUGGGGUAAAGGCUCACCUAGGCGACGAUCUCUAGCUGGUCUGAGAGGAUGAUCAGCCACACUGGGAGUGAGAGACGGUCCGGACUCCUGCGGAGGGAGCAGUGGGGACUAUUGCGCACCGGGGGCAACCACGACGCAGCCAUGCCGAGUGAAUGAAGAAGGCCUUCGGGUUGUAAAGUUCUUUCGGUAGCGAGGCGUUAACUACAGAAGAAGCACCGGCUAACUCCGUGCCAGCAGCCGCGGUAAUAC